GACGAACGCUGGCGGCGUGCUUAACACAUGCAAGUCGAACGGGAUCCGGGCUUUCGGGUUUGGUGAGAGUGGCAAACGGGUGAGUAACACGUGAGUAACCUGCCCCCUUCUUUGGGAUAACGUCGGGAAAUCGGCGCUAAUACUGGAUAUUCUUGCUGCAUCGCAUGGUGUGGUUUGGAAAGGGUUUCUGGUGGGGGAUGGGCUCGCGGCCUAUCAGCUUGUUGGUGGGGUGAUGGCCUACCAAGGCUUUGACGGGUAGCCGGCCUGAGAGGGUGUCCGGCCACACUGGGACUGAGACACGGCCCAGACUCCUACGGGAGGCAGCAGUGGGGAAUAUUGCACAAUGGGCGCAAGCCUGAUGCAGCGACGCCGCGUGAGGGAUGACGGCCUUCGGGUUGUAAACCUCUUUCAGUAUGGAACAAGGAUCCUUCUUUUGGGGGGUUUGAGGGUACGUGCAGAAGAAGCGCCGGCUAACUACGUG
rnacentral:rRNA from 1 species